ensembl:lncRNA
UGUGUGUGUGUGGAGUGUGUGUGUGUGUGUGUGGAGUGUGUGUGUGGAGUGUGUGUGUGUGGAGUGUGUGUGUGGAGUGGGAGUGUGUGUGUGGAGUGUGUGUGUGUUAGUGCUGUGUGUGUGUGUGUGUGGAGUGUGUGUGUGUGGAGUGUGUGUGUGGAGUGUGUGUGUGUGUGUGUGGAGUGUGUGUGUUGUGUGUGUGUGUGUGUGUGUGUGUUGUGUGUGUGGAGUGUGUGUGUGGAGUGUGUGUGUGGAGUGUGUGUGUGGAGUGUGUGUGUGUGGAGUGUGUGUGUGGAUGUGUGUGUGUGGAGUGUGUGUGUGUGUGGAGUGUGUGUGGAGUGUGUGUGUGGAGUGUGUGUGUGGAGUGUGUGUGUGUGGAGUGUGUGUGUGGAGUGUGUGUGUGGAGUGUUUGUGUGUGUGGAGUGUGUGUGUGUGGAGUGUGUGUGUGUGUGGUG